rnacentral:rRNA from 1 species
GCGAACGCUGGCGGCAGGCCUAACACAUGCAAGUCGAACGCUCGUAGCAAUACGGGAGUGGCGGACGGGAGAGAAACGCGUGGGUACCUACCUAGCAGUACGGAAUAACCGCGGGAAACUGCGGCUAAUACCGUAUACGCCCUACGGGGGAAAGAUUCAUCGCUGCUAGAGGGGCCCGCGUCCGAUUAGCUAGUUGGCGGGGUAACGGCCCACCAAGGCUAUGAUCGGUAGCUGGUCUGAGAGGACGAUCAGCCUCACUGGGACUGAGACACGGCCCAGACUCCUACGGGAGGCAGCAGUGGGGAAUAUUGGACAAUGGGGGAAACCCUGAUCCAGCCAUGCCGCGUGGGUGAUGAAGGCCUUCGGGUUGUAAAGCCCUUUUGGCGGGGAAGAUAAUGACGGUACCCGCAGAAUAAGCCCCGGCUAACUUCGU